CAAUACUCCAACUGGGGAGAUCGACGGUAACGGCCUAACUCUACCUGCAUCCUUGGUAUUGAAUGUCGAUUUGGAUGAUGUUCAUUUCCUGUUGUGGACGAGGAGUAACUCUGACAACGACGACGAUUACGAACUCGUCAUCGAUGACGUCAGCAACCUGAACGCGUCGCCCUUCGACGGGACGAAACCGACUGUCAUUCUCUGUCACGGCUGGAACAGCGAAGGGACCGCUAGCUGGAUUUAUACGGCCAAGACAGAAUUUCUCCAGUGGCAAGACAUUAACUUCAUCUCGGUCGAGUGGAGCAGUAUUGCUCGUCACAUAAAUUAUCCUGAAGUUGUCAAUAACAUCCCCAAGAUAGGGAAGCAUAUAGCUGCUUUUAUCGAUUACCUGUACAAAGAAGGUGGUCUCAACGUUACUGACCUCUACGUAAAUGGACAUUCAUUAGGUGCUCAUGGUGUGGGCAUUGCUGGAUUCAAUGUACAAAAUGGCCCUGUGGGCAGAA